rnacentral:rRNA from 1 species
GCGGGACACGUGGUAUCCUGUCUGAAUAUGGGGGGACCAUCCUCCAAGGCUAAAUACUCCUGACUGACCGAUAGUGAACCAGUACCGUGAGGGAAAGGCGAAAAGAACCCCGGCGAGGGGAGUGAAAAAGAACCUGAAACCGUGUACGUACAAGCAGUGGGAGCACCUUCGGGUGUGACUGCGUACCUUUUGUAUAAUGGGUCAGCGACUUAUAUUCUGUAGCAAGGUUAACCGUAUAGGGGAGCCGCAGGGAAACCGAGUCUUAACUGGGCGUUAAGUUGCAGGGUAUAGACCCGAAACCCGGUGAUCUAGCCAUGGGCAGGUUGAAGGUUGGGUAACACUAACUGGAGGACCGAACCGACUAAUGUUGAAAAAUUAGCGGAUGACUUGUGGCUGGGGGUGAAAGGCCAAUCAAACCGGGAGAUAGCUGGUUCUCCCCGAAAGCU